ACGACUCAUACAAGCACGUUCAACGGGGUGACUAACGAGUCCAUUGUGACUGUGUGAACCCUGUGGAAGGUCCCCGGGCAUGGGAUAGAAAGUAUACUGCAAAGCUUAUAGUCGCUUUAAAGGCGGUUCGAACAUGCGCGUCAAUGACGAGAUGUCUUUAGGACAGAUUGUCAGGCGUUGCGUUCACCGCCUAAAGGCCAGAGUACAGUUAAUGAACGUGACCAGAGUUGCGAGAGUUUGGGCGUUUGACGACGGGACGCAAAAUAAUACCGCUCGCAUCGAAAAGCUGGGAACAAAACGGGGCCCAUUCUGAUUGAGUUG
rnacentral:RNase_MRP_RNA from 1 species